rnacentral:ncRNA from 1 species
GGAAGACCACCACGUUGAUAGGUGGCGUGUGGAAGCGUGGUAACACGUGAAGCUAAGCCAUACUAAUCGCUCGAUCGGCUUGAUCGC